rnacentral:rRNA from 1 species
UACGAAGGGGGCUAGCGUUGUUCGGAGUUACUGGGCGUAAAGGGCGCGUAGGCGGCGCACCAAGUCAGGCGUGAAAGCCCUGGGCUCAACCCGGGAAUUGCGCUUGAGACUGGUGUGCUUGAGUACGGGAGAGGAUAGUGGAAUUCCCAGUGUAGAGGUGAAAUUCGUAGAUAUUGGGAAGAACACCGGUGGCGAAGGCGGCUAUCUGGACCGUAACUGACGCCGAGGCGCGAAAGCGUGGGGAGCAAACAGG